ACUAAUUCCAACCCUAUCUAAAUUUAUAUUUUACUGCACUACAACAACAGAGAAAGGGAAGGUGUAUAUGGGGUCGGUUAAUCACUCCUGGCUUAUAACCAGAGGGAUAGACAUGACCCGAUUGGCAUAAUGAAUAUAAUAUUAUAUGCCAUGGUCCUGGUUACUCCAUGAUGUAUAUAAAUUCCCCCCAUGUAAAGAGACACCACGGUUUUUACUCUAUGCCCCAGGCUACUACAAAUAUAUAUAAUGUCCAGCAGUAUUGAUCCCUUUAAAACAUAACUAUUACUCUUCAAUUUAUAAAAUAAUACAACCGUAGUGGGGAAUGAGAGCGAGUGUGAAUGAGAGGAGGAACAGGACGCUACCAGGACGCAGCUUAAAUGUAAGUCUGGACCAUUUAUUGAGAGUUGAUACCAUCAUAGCAUGUAGUGUGUUUCAUACUACAUUUGAUUUUUUGCUCACAGCUUCCUGGGUGAAGUACUGGCCCGUAUCGUGUGGGCCCUUUAGCCUCCUGAUUGCACAGGAUAUUAAGUGGGACAUAUCAAACGGGUCCCUUGGUCCUAUGCUUAAUAUCAUCUGCGUCUCUGGUCCUGUUGCCUCAACUAUAUUCUAAGUAUCUUUGAUUUAUCAUUUGAUUGAUGGUUGUAUCUCUGACCAUGAAUGCCCCCUGAUGAACCUAGCAAUAGGGGAAACGCGUAGGGACUUUUGUGGAACCAGCCUGGGAACGCACCGUUUUGAUGCCCCUGUGCUUGGUCCCUUAUGUUUAGAGGUGAUAUUUAUCUAAUUCACCUGUACAUUGAACUGGUCUUUAUCUACUAGUGCCCCUGAGAGUAUUCAGUUACCAGGGACACAUUACUACACCCGUCAGCUUCCUGGGGAGCACAUUCUGUUAUUUUUGGAGAGGAGGGUAUACGCAGGGCAGUCAGCCCAGGAACGAGGACAGGGAGUCUCCACCAUCAGGGGACGUCCCUGGGCUGAGGUCUUAGCCAGGGUGAGCAUAGGGAGAGUAUAGUUUUGCCCACUGCUCCCCUUAGCUGCCUUGUGUUCACUCACCCCUCUAUAGGUGUAUCCACGACUAGCUCCCAGGAACAUUUUGUAUCCUUGAUUAUUGUUGGAGGCAGACCUUGGAGUUUGUUUAGGACCUGACACACAAACGAAAGUUGGGAGGUGUUGGGGGCAUACACAUUACAGAGUACGAUGGGGCGACCCUGGUAAAUCCUUUCCAGAAUGACCUAGCGACCCGCGGGGUCUAUUGGGGAGGAGGAUACUGAAAUGGGACAGGAGGCUGACAACAAUAUAGCAACACCUGCCUUUCGACAACUAUGGACUGUGAAGGUGUGUGGGUAGUAGUUUUUGGCGAAGCCAAAAGAUCCUGUCUGGUCGAAGUGGGUCUCCCGAAGGAAGGCCACAUCUGCCCGUAGGUUGCGGAGCUCCCGGAGUACCAGGGAAGGGGGGGGGGCCUCCUCCAGGCUGCUCUCUGUGGGGUAGGAAGAGCAUGAGCAAGGGAUAGACACGGAGGAGGGGGUAUGGGGGAAGGGGGAGACACGAACACCACAAGACUUUACAAAAAACAAACGGUAAACUAAAUCUGUAGAAUAAACAGACUAGAAAAAAAAAGUCUGAGAGGGGACCAACCCCGUCAUACCAAUAGCCAGCAAGGCGGACUCACUGAGCCUCACUGUCUGGGGACCGAAUCAGUCACGUCCCGAGGGGGGGGGGGGCAAACCCAGUAGG